CGUGAUAGAGAUAUCUAAUAGUGGUAUGGAGGAGGAGGAGAUUUGUAGAGGUAAGGAUGGUGUGGUGGAGAGUAGUGGUGUACUGGAGGAGGAGGAGGUGAUUUGUACACGUACUUUUCCUUUGGUGGUGGUGGAGAGUGGUAAACCGGAGGAGGAGAGUAGUGCUUAACCGGAGGAGGAGGGGACUUGUAUACGUAAUGUUUCUUUGGUGGUGGUGGGGAAUGGUAGACUGGAGGGGGAGAGUAGUGCUUAACCGGAGGAGGAGGGGACUUGUAUACGUAAUGUUUCUUUGGUGGUGGUGGGGAAUGGUAAACUGGAGGGGGAGAGUAGUGCUUCACCGGUGGUGGUGGAGAUUUGUACACGUAGUGUUUCUUUGGUGGGGGUGGGGAAUGGUAAACCGGAGGAGGAGAGUAGUGCUUAACUGGAGGAGGAGGAGAUUUGUACACGUAGUGUUUCUUUGGUGGUGGUGGGGAAUGGUAAACCGGAGGAGGAGAGUAGUGCUUAACCGGAGGAGGAGGAGAUUUGUACACGUAGUGUUUCUUUGGGGGUGGUGGGGAAUGGUAAACCGGAGGAGGUGAGUAGUGCUUCACCGGUGGUGGUGGAGAUUUGUAGACGUAAUGCUUUUUAGGUGGGGGUGGGGAAUGGUAAACCGGAGGGGGAGAGUAGUGCUUAACCGGAGGAGGAGGAGACUUGUAAACGUAAUGUUUUUUUGGUGGUGGUGGUGAGUGGUAAACCGGAGGGGGAGAGUAGUGCUUAACCGGAGGAGGAGGAGACUUGUAUACGUAAUGUUUCUUUGGUGGUGGUGGUGAGUGGUAAACCGGUGGGGGAGAGUAGUGCUUGACUGGAGGAGGGGGAGAUUUGUACACGUAGUGCUUCUUGGGUGGUGGUGGAGAGUGGUAAACCGGAGGAGGAGAGUAGUGCUUAACCGGAGGAGGGGGAGAUUUGUAAACGUAGUGCUUCUUUGGUGGUGGUGGGGAGUGAUAAACCGGUGGGGGAGAGUAGUGCUUGACCGGAGGAGGAGGAGAUUUGUACACGUAGUGUUUCUUUGGUGGGGGUGGGGAAUGGUAAACCGGAGGAGGUGAGUAGUGCUUAACCGGUGGAGGUGGAGAUUUGUAUUCGUAGUGCUUCUUAGGUGGUGGUGGGGAGUGGUAUACCGGUGGAGGAGAGUAGUGUUUAACCGGAGGAGUGUAAUGUUUAACCGGUGGUGGAGGAGAAGAAUAGAAAUAGUUAGCGGUUGAUUGAGAUACAAAGGUGAGAGAGAUUGUUAAGACAAGCAAAGUUGCCACUAAAGAGGCCAUUGGAGACCCCAUUGGUUGUUUUGUUUUUGGUUUGUGAUUUAGUGCCUUCCCUUCACACCCUUUAAAUAGCUUUUUCAGUUUCACUAUUUUCACACUCGUUGUAAAAUGGUAACUUACGUCAUGUAAAAAGUACAUGCAAUUAUGUACACCAAACAUAUAUAAAUAUUAGUAUAUAGAAAGAAGUGAUGUUUGUUGGUCUCUCCGACUCUCAUUAUUAAACUUUUUUCUUCAGCCAUCGAUGAUUGACAUGUUCUCCAUGUUCGAACAACGUAUCGAAUCUCGUGAUUUUUCAAAAUAUAACGUUAGAUCUAACGUAUGUUUUCUAAAUCUCGCGAUUUUUGUUAUGUCCCUUUUGAUAAUACUCACUUUUUUUUGUGUGUGAAAAUUCACUUUAGAACAAUAAUACAAUGUCCCAAAAGCUAAGAAAGUAGUAAUUGUAAUUGUAGAACGUUGUAAGAGAAAAUAUGUUGAUGGCCUCUUGAGUUUUUCUUUUUCCGGUAAAGAAGAUAUAUAUGGCCUCUAAGUUAAAAGGGGAAACAUGAGAAAAUCAUUUCUGACUACGUUAAAUGUAAAACAUGACUCUAAACACACAAGAUUAAUACUUUACUUUUUCUUUCAAAUUUAGAAAUAACAAAACCAUAUCAGAAAUUAUGUACACAGCCGUAUAUAGGUUUGUGGUUAUAGAUUAGAUGUUUGUCGAUAUUUGAUCCAUUAAUAUGUGUAAGUCGAACUAUAACCAGCGAAUGUAAUGUCAUAACAUGGUCCAAAUUAUUAAUUUGGAAUUUAUUUAUCUUAUAUUUUACUUAACAAAGUUACUAAAUUUUAGUCCGCUUUUAUCUUUCUAUUUUUGGUUACAUGCAUCUUUUCAUUUUGUGUUAAAGUACAUACAUCCUUUUUUCUCCGAUGAUACUUUCUUCUUGGCUCCUUAUACAAGUCCUUAUGAAUAAUGGGAAACGAAUAACAUUGCCUUUGACACUUUUAGAAAAAGCAUUUGCAAUAUUCAUUUUGAGAACCAAAUAAAAGUUAUGUUCAAAUUCUUUCUUUCUUUCUUUUUUCCAGUUUUGUAAUCUUAAGUUUGAGCAUGAUCUGCCUAAUGCAUAAGUGAUUCUCGGCAAUGUAAUGGACCAACCACAGAUAUUUUCAUAGAUAGAGAUGUGAAUAUAUAUAGAUCAAUAAUCAGAAACAGCUAAAUAUAGCUAAACAACUUAUUUUCGAUAUCUCACCUACUUCCUACGUACUGGUCAAAGAUGCUUACCACAUCCAUUCUUUUACUCGUUCAUUACAAAUGUAAUCAAAUCCAAUAUUCAUUACAGAACUUAUCAAUUCAAUGUAAAAUAUUCAUCUUUAAUCUAAAUGCUCUAUCCCAACAUUAUUGCAGUUAAUGCAUAUUAGAUACAGCAAAUUUAUUAUCGAGCAUAAAACUCUAUAAUAUAGUUUUGAGUUAUUACCUAGAAGAUUCAGUUCCGGAUAAUAUUGUUUUUCAUCUAGUGAACCUAGAUCGACUAAUAAUAAACCUAUAUAAACCCCAAUUAAGUAACAUGUUCAUCGAAACUUUGCAUUUACUUCAUUUUUUUUAUAGUCGAUUAUAUUUUUCUUCUUCAACAAAAGACACUUAUAUAUGUAAUUUUUAAUUUUCUAGUCAAUACAUUUUCUCCAAAUAAAAUAGGGUUUUGUUUACGGAGAAUACUUUUUAAAAAAGAAAGAGUAUAUGAACGCGUUGACUUACGGCGGCCGAGUUAGAAGUGGAAGGAACAAAAGAGAGAAGGUGGUCCGUCAUACAUCCGAAUACCGCUCCUAAAGGUGACACUGCCAACGUGACAGUGAUUGUUCGAUCUUCGAUUUGGUGUUUUGCCUCACAUUUUCUUUGUUUAACCUUAGAACACGUUUCUUGUCCUCUCUAUUAUUCUUUUUUAAUUACAUACGCUGUCAAUUAUCAAGAGAUAAGAAAACGUUAAUAUGAUUUAACUAAUUAACAAGGUAGAUGAAUUAUCACGACCGGACUUUUCUGACUGAAUAUAAGGAUGAUAAAUGUUCAUUAUUUGUUUUUUGUUUUCUUUUUCGGUGCACUGGAUUCUUCAUUUCAAUUAUAGACUAUUGUACAUCUUCAUCUUCUAUCAAAAUAAACAAAUAAAUCAAUAAAAGAAGCUUGGUCAAGAGUCAAGAUAGAUUUUCGAUAAUUGAAUUUUAUUCAUUUUCAUCGAACUGGAUAAGUAACCAGCUGGAUUAAGACUUAGACAAAUUAACAACUUCGCAUAAUUUUUUAACACAUUCUUGAAAGCUGACUUUGUUGGUGAGACGUCAACAAAUUGCAAGAAUAAUCACCGUCAUACCGAUUUGGUCAUUUGUAAUAAAGUAACACGACAAUAGUUACCUUUGAUGAUAAUAAUUACAGAAUUAUAGAUAUUUAGAUUCCUUUAGUAAAAUAUAGCUCAUAUCUGAUCCACUUCGAAAGAUGAUAGCCUUAAAGUAAAUAUUGGUAUACAUUUGAGUUUGACUAGAUAACAAUUCCAUAAGACCAAUAAAGAUUUUACGAUAUUGAAUAGAUUUUUAUGCGCUUAUUAUUUUAAAUAUAUUAGAAAUAUACAUAAUUGGUGUUUGCUUUCAUUUAGAAUGUUAAAUUACAUGCAUGGUUUUAACUUUUAUCUUCACGAAUAUACGGAUUAAUUACGGUAUAGAUUAGAACCUCGUGAUAAUCAAAAAGGAAAAAUAUAUAGAGGGGGUAUUAUUUGACCACUCUUUGACGUGUUAGAUACUUUCUAAGAAUAUAUUUUUAAAAAAAUUAUUUUUCUUAGAUCUAUCGUUAUAUAUUAAUCUCAUAGUAACAAUUCUUCUGCUAUAUGAUUUUUCAAACAGAAAAAAAAUAUGUCUAAAAAAAGUUAUCCUUUGUAGUUUGAAUACUAGCAUUUCUUAAACACAAAUUAACUUUUCGAGCAGAAUUCCAAAUAGAACGUUAGUCAAAUUCUAAACUAGUUUUCGAGAUCUACAAAACUUUCAUCUUUUUUGUGUGGUCAAUGAUUUUUUACAUAGAAUGAUAAAAAAGAGUAUAUGAAUUCAUGAAAUGAUCAUCACUAACUUACCAUACCUUUGUUUUUUUUGAUAAAUUGAUAUAUUCAGUCUAAUAGACUCGAUUGACGACAAAAGAAAGACUUGUAUAUAAUAAAUAUGCGAUAUUAGAUUGUAACUGCAUGAUAGAUCAAUGAGUCAUAAGCAACAUGGCCUCCUUGUUCGAUACAUUUUUCUAAACAUAUUCGAUCCCUAAGCUACUAGCUACGUGUAAUUUUGCUAUAUAAAAAUAUUCAGCAUAAAAUUAAAAAAAUAGCUCAUCACUUCAGAUGAUAUGAAAAAGAAAGACUACACGUCGAUAAUCAAUCUAGACAAUAAUAAAGAUAUUUGUGACUAUUUCCUGGAAACACGUACAUAAACGUUAUUUGUCGUAAGAUACAGUUUUGUCGGGUCGCCGAAUGUGUCCCAAUAUGCAGUCUAUAAUCAAUAUGUGUCUAUUACAGACGAUUAGUUCGACUGUAAUUUCAUAUGGAUUUACAACUUUUUUUAAGAAUAUGAUUGGUAGCGGAAAAAAAUAUAUAUGAUUGGUAAAAAAAUAAAGUUUAUAAAAUUUUAAUUAACAGAAUUCCAAUAUAUAUUGAAGUGUUAAGAUUUUUGCUAAAUAAAUAAUUAGCAUCUAUACUAAUAAGAUAAGAAGAAUAAUAAUGAGGUUUAUAUAUUUACUUUUUAGGAAUUUUGAAAAUUUUCAAUAAUUUAUCUUAAAACUUUGUAGAUGGAGUUUGAGUUAUAUACUGUAUAUUUGAAUUACUGGGAGUCUGGGACAGAGCUACAGAAUUAUAAUAUAUAUUUUGCUUUAACAGAAAUUUUUGAAAUUACGGACCUAUCAUAUGUUACCAAUAAUCGUUAGAUUCGAACUUCCAUGUGGGAAUUAAAUUGAGACUACCAAACUUGUUUGAACAAAAAGAUUUCUUUUAAGAACUAAUCUAGAAUCCUAGAUUUUAAAUUAGCCUUUUGUGGACGUUUUCGCUAUAAAAAAUAAUAUGAUCAAAAUAAUUCGCAACUAAAAAUAAUUCACGACUUAUAAGAAGAAUCCCAUUCAAAAACACUAAUCAUCUCCUAAUUUUAAUUUGUUGAACUCUUUUAUUCUUUUUACAACAAAAACAUAAGAAGGAAAUCUACUGCUAAAAGCCUAAAACCAAAAAAAAAAAAAAAUAAAGAAAAAAGAAAAACAGAAAAACACUCCCUCUAUAACCAAUAUUGUACGACUUAAUUUUUUCACAAUUUCUUAAAUUCAUUAUACCGACAAACUAUCUCACGGUAAUAUCUGGAUUAUUAUUUUGUCCGUCUUUAUGGAAAGCGUUAGGAGAAGUUUGUUGAUUUUAUUCUUCAACAAAAAAAAACGUUUGUUGAUUUUAUAGUUGAUUUAUGGGACCAGCAGGCGGCUUGGCUGAUAUAUACGUCUUCGUUUUCUUUUUUUCUAGUUAGAUUUUAUGUGAUGUGAAAUUUUUUAAUUUGAAAAGAUAUAAAUAUUUUGACAUCAACAUACAAAAUGAUUAUUAUUUUAUAACAUAAUUAGCUCUUUUCUCUUAUUCCAUGGAGGAUUUAGUGACAUAUGUACACUUGGAAAAGUCACUGGUUAAUACUGUAGUAAUUUAGUAAGAAUUCUAUAAGAAGUAGAAAAUAUCUUCGAAAUAUUCUGCCGACAUAUCCUUAAAUUUAAGUUUUCACUACUUCUCCUAUUACGAUAAAAACUUAUAUAUAUAGACGUACGUUCAAAUAUCUCCCAUGUGAAAUUUCAAGUGUGUUUUUAUCCCAAAAAAAAUCAUGUGUACAAGAUAAAAAUACUAUGUAUAUUCAUCCGUACAAAAAUAACUUGUUAUUAUAAUUAUGUUAAUUUGUUUACAUUAUUUAUUUACUCUAUAUAUUUCCAAAAAAAAAAUGUUGAAAUUCAAACGCCACUAUUUUAGAAAUGAUUAAUAAGAAUUAUCCGAAAACAGAUUUAUUAUGAAAAUGGAAAAGAGGUAGAAAUUAAUUUUGAUCACGAUAAAGAUAUUCAUGAAAACCUAGUCAAUGAGAAAUUUAAUAUACUAACAUCCUUUAUAUACUAAUAAAGUAAUAAGUAAUAAUACUCAUCGAUCCGAACUACUGUACUUGUAAAACAAGUCCAACAAAAAAACAAGUAAUUCAGGUCAUCAAAUCUAACAAACUUCCCAUAACCGGACUAAACCAACAUUCUAUAGGCUCCCUUGAUUCAAGACACGUCUGUUUCCACUAAACCCUCACAUACGAGAAAUCUUACAUCAACAAACAUACUUGAUACUUCCCCAGCUAGCUCCAAAACCCACGGCGGCACGUCGGCACCAAGGUCCAUCGUCUACUUUUCUUGCAAUAAUUCACAGUAGGAGCUAAAGAAAUGUCACUGUGUCCACGAUUAUCACCAUUUGACCACAAAUUUUGUUCGCUAUUCAUAUGUUUCAAUAAAAUAAAAAUAUUACUAGUAGAUACUAAAGAAAGAGACAACGAAGUAUAACAAAUAUUUACUUUUUAUAAUUUCAGCUAGAUUUGUCUUUUGCUAGUAAAGAAGUCAGGUCCGAUACAGUGUGAAUGAACUGCAUGUGACCUGUGGGCGUCAGAAAAUGCUGGGGUAAAAACAUCAUUUCGUCAAUCGUCGUAGCAGAAAAUAUCUAUAACAGUGGUAUAAUAGCUACUUAUACGUAUUUGAUCAAAAAAAAAAAGACUACUAAUACGUAUGACCACUCCUAUUAUUAAAUCUAUUAAAUACUACUAUACGUAUUUCAUAACUGCUUGUUCUUCGUAAAUGACCACUCUCCUUUAAUUAUUUAUCAUAGUGCUAUAACAAAUUAAUUCAUAGUAUGUAACGGUGAAUUGAUAAACCAGCUACUACGAAUUAAUUUAGAAAAUAUGAAAUUUCACAAUAUGACAAAUGUAGAUGUCAUUGUUUCCAGGAGAGUUCUAAAAUACAAGAGUGUCCAAACAAACACAGUGAAGAAAGUAGUUAAGAGGAUAUUUUCCAGUGUAAGAUCUCUUGGAAUCACGCUAAUCUGUGAUUGAUUUUAUAUCUACAAUCGUACUUAAAAAAAUAUAGUGUUUUUUUUUAAUUAGGUGUAAUGUAGAACAGAGACUUUCAGAUCCACUUGAAUCAAUAUUGUAUAAAAUGUACUAAUCUAAUUGUUGUUUAACAACUUGUCUCUAUUUCCUCAAUCAUGAUUCAUAACCCGAUCGGUCUCCUAAACAUUAGUCUUGUUUGAGCCAAGAAUAUCUUCAAAAUAAUGCUGUAUUUAAAUAAGUCAUUAAAUUAUUAUCAUUGUAAGGAAUCAAUUAUUUAAAGCCACCUCUCAAUUAUUUAACAUAGUAGUAAAUUAAUUAUUUAAAGCCACCUCUCAAUUGAUUAACACUAUUUUAGUUUCCAAACCAGUGGCUAAAAAGCAAUACCUUGUUGGGGCAAAAUGUAUUUAACUAUUCAUUUCAUUUUAUUUCAAUUUUUUGCAGUAUAUAUAUGUAAUAUGUGUGUAUACGAGUCUGAUCGAGUACGUCAGCGAUUCAUGAAUACCAUUUAAUUGACAUAGGACAAAAGGUUACUUCUGAUUCACCAUUUACUAUUCUCAUCAUUCUCUUCUUUUUUGGGUUCAAAUUCUCAUCAUCGUCUAUUCCUCUUCAUCAUAACUCUCUCUUGAAUGUUAUUUCCAUCUGUAUAAAUACAAACUUACAUGAAUUAGUAACGUAUUAUUGUUUUCUAUAGCUAUUCUAGAUAGGGGACGUAAAGAGAAAAAAAGAUAGGGGACGUACUUUUUGUUGACGUUAUAGAGGACGUACUUUUUUUUACCCUGUUGUUUUUGUUUUGUUUUGUUAAAGGCUUCACGGCUUUACCCAAUUUCAAUAAUUCACAAAGACAUGUGCAAUAUGAUCAGUUUAUUACAAAAUUACAUCUUGUCUCAAAAGUCGCAAUCUACUGCUUCGUAAAAGAUGGAUAAAACAAAAGAGGAAAAGAUUGAUUUGUACAUUGCCUACUAACUUAUUUAACGUGGCCAGAAGCAUGAAGUUUCUUGAAUUAUGCAUGCACAUAAAAGCCAAAACAAAAACAAAAAAAUCUAAAGUCGGACGCGAAAAAAAGCAUCUGCUCUCUUUGGAUAUCGAAUAUACUCACCUCUCUUCAUCGCCGAUCCCAUCAGUGUUGACAUGUUUGGUCAACCAAAUAAAUUUGUAGUGUCACUGAUUUCUUAUCUUUUUGUAAAUUUUCUACAUUGAUUUGCUUUUUGAUAUAAAGUUCUAACUUUUUUAAAAGUAUCAUAUUACGAGGAAGCUAAAGCAACUACAAGCUCUAGAAGAUUGUAACUUUUCUUUGAAAGUAAAAGCACUCAUGGUUUUUAAUUGCUAACAAUAUACACUUACGAUAGGCAAAUCCUCACACUAGGGAUUAUAUGAGCCACUGUUUUGGAUUCUGUCCCAAAAAUAUAAAUGAACAAAUACAACUACGUACUGAUCCCUGAGUACACUAUUGAAGUCCCAUUUCCGUAUAAUUCCCACAUAGAAAAUAAAAGAUUGUGACAAAAAUUUCUGUCUUUGAUAGAUAACAGUAAUAAGAUGAUGCACUAAAUCUAUCCACGAGAUGGAAAGAAAAAUUAAGUGAAAGAGAAAGACUUUAGGUUCGAAUCACUUCAUCUCCGUGGUGUCUCUCCAUACAUCUCUGUUUCUUUGAGUGAAACUACUCCUAAGGAUUUGAGCAUAUGAUCAAGUGUAUUUGGGUUCAUGUAGAAUCUAGUUGCAGGAGGGAACAUGGAAGCACGAAACAAUAAGUCACCAUUUGGUCGAUGGGCCUCAAAUGUCACCUACUGAUCACCUUCUUCCUCCACGCUGUCCUGGUCUUGGACCUGGGUUUCUGAAAAAUUGGAGCCGCAAAAUCUUGGAAUCGGGUUCGUCUUCAUCCAUUCGAUAGUCUGUCAAAUAUAAAGUUGUAUCAGUUAAACCAGCGGACGAGUGUUGGCUUGCAUCGGACAAAAUCAAACUUUGAUACAGUAUAUGUUCUAGCAUAGUGUUUAUAACUGAAAUGAAGAUAGUAAUAUCAAGAAACCAAUGCAAAACAAACUCAAUAUGUGUUGGAACAAAUAUUAGCAAUCCCCAAAGUAGAGAGAAUCUCGGUUACCUUGCAAAGCGCUCAGAGCAGUUGCUGCACAGGCAGAGUUUUCAAAAUCAACAAAACACAGAACAGUAGGAUCUCCACUCCUCUGCAUAAAACCCCUUAGAAAGUCAAUAUUAAUGAAAUUAUGGGACUGAGUGUUUUCAUUUUCAACAAUUCUUCAAAUUGGAACCAGUGAAUCUUACGUGUUUUGAAUCUUGGGUCACAAGUCUUACUUCUCUAUAUCCCACAAAAGGCCGAAAUAUAUCUAGACUUCAGUUAAGGACAAUGAAUAGCUCAAACAUUCUUAAGUGAGGAAAUUAAUAAUUGUAAUGAGUCAUUAGGUAGGAUACGGGAUACUUCCCUUCUUGAGCAAUUAGAAGGAAGUCCUUCAACAUACAGAGUGUUGGAUACAUCUGGAGGUAGAGGAUGUGGUUCCCGGCCUGGCCUACCAACUGAAUCCAGCUGACCAAAACCCAUAUCCCGACCAUUUGGCCUGAAAUCUGAAGGCAAACUCCCACCACACCCAGCCAUGAGCUCACCCAUGGACGGACCAGGCAUCAUGUUGGAACCUCCUUGUCGUACCAUGCCAACACCAUUAAAUGGACCAGCUUCUUCAGAUGGCACAAAAAACGUUUGCUACAAAACAGGGAAAAGGUUUCAGUACACUGAAGAAAGAAGAGAAAAAAAACGAAGAAGAGACCACGUGAAUAAGGAUUAUACCAUACUCUGCAGGUAGCGGUCAUAAGCUGAUCCAAUACUUCUAGUAUCCUUUACUGAAUGGGGGAUACCUCGAUCCUCAUCCUGUGAUAAAUAACUGUGCAUAUCACCUGAAGGAAUCAAAUAUGGUGUACCUUCUACAAAGAGAAAAAUAAGACAAUUCAAAAUCACACAUUGAUAGGUAUGGCAAUAUAUAAACCAGUGGACCUCAUGACACACGAAAAAGAAGUACACAAGAUACAUAAUCUGCAACUAUAAAUCAGUGAUAAUCUGUUCCAGCAUUGAUGGUCAAACACUCAAACCUCUUUAACGUAGCAUCAUAUUUAGUAAGAGACGAAAUGAAGGAGGGACAAAUAAGACAAUUCAAACUCACACACACAACUUUAGAUUCAUGUGAUGAGCACAUAGCAGUUAAGGAGGGACAAGAUUCAUUGAACAUAAACUUUAAAGUAUAUGUGGGAAGCCCACCAAACAAGAAUACACAUAUCAUCAAAUUGCCAAAUUGAUGUAAACAAAUGACGCAAUCAUCACGAAAUGCAUAAGUAGAAACCCUCUAACUGCAUCGGAGUGUCUCCAAAAAAAUGAUGAAAAAACGUAAAACAUAUCCUCUCUUUUUUCCUAACACUCGUAAAUUGGUUCACCUAGAUAUAAUAACUGAAUCAAGAAUCAAAGAAAUUGUUGAAAAGGUCCAUAGAAGAAGGAGACUGAAUCUUCGAUGGACUACUCUGAAGGAUAGAGUUAAAGUCAUUAAAGAACGACGAAAAACCUUGUGGAUCGGUUGGUCCAAUAGUGGAAAAGAAGUCCGGUGAUACCGACGGCAGAGAAUAAGGUCCCGGCGAUAAAAUCCCAGCAUGGUGAAAACUUGGCCGCUCGAACCCUCGAUUUUGAUGUGGUUGUUCUUGAUGAUGAUGAUGAUAAUAUUGAUCCAUAGUCCCUUCGCCUCCAACAAAUGUCCCUAGUUCGUUUGAGAUAUUAGCCUUCUCUGUAACAGCAAACCGAGCCGCCGGAGAUAUCAACCCAUGAGAUGUAUCAACCAUUGUUGACGUGUCUUUUGGUUCCGACGUGGAUGAAGAGGAGGAGGAUGAUGUUGUGGAGGUAGAGGUUUGACCUGUGAGACGUUGGACCAAUGUCAUGAAGUUAUUAGGGUGUGUAUGGAUAAUUCUGGGAGUUACUGUGUAUAUGUUCACGGGACCAGGUGGGGGCCGAGAUUGCGACGGUUCUUGCUGAUGGGUUUGUGGUGGUUGUGGUUGCGGGUGUGGCGGCGCUAGUGGUGGCUUCUUGAUAAUCUUGUGCGAAUCUCCACGGACUUUCAGUGGUGUUGGUUUCGGACCCAUGUUUCCUCUUGAUCUUGGCGAUCUAUUAUCCAUAGAAUCCACUUUAUGAGAUGAAUAGUAUAUGUAUAUGUGUAUGUGUGAUGAUGAAUUUAGUGAAGAACAAUGAUUAUGUGAUGAUUAGGGGAAGUACUUGUAUAUAUAUAAUUAGAGAAAAAUAAGACAAUUCAAACUCACACAUCGAUAGGUACGGCAAUAUAUAAACCUGUGGACCUCAUGACACACAAAAAAGAAGUACACAAGAUACAUAAUCUGCAACUACAAAGCAUAGAUAAUCUGUUCCAGCAAUGAUGGUCAAACACUCAAAACCUCUUUAACAUAGCAUCAUAUUUAGAAAGAGACGAAAUGAAGGUUUAUUUUCUCAUUAACUUAGAAUAUGAAUGUACAUGUACAUGUUCAUAUACAAGAUAGAAUGUAAAAAACUACCCUACACAAGUAACAAGCUCUCUAUACUACUCUAAUACAUCAAUGUGGUGGGAUACAUACACUUAUCUUUACAGAACCGUUCAACCGCAAACAUAAUUUGAACAAAGUGGAUCAAGACUCCUAUAAACAAUAGUACAGAGCAAUUUUCAAGACAUACAUAUAUACUAAAAGAAGUUCUGAAUAAGAGCCAUACAAAAUGAAACCUAAGAAGAGAAUCAUAUGUUAAUGGUAGCUCCCAUAUAGCUCAUCUUUUUAAGUAAAAUAAGAAAAGGUUUUGUUUUCAUGGCAAAGAGGCAAAAUUUAGACCUAUAACAGAUGAAAAAUCUGUUCAUUAUUCUAUAUAACUAUCAUCACAACAAUGCCCACUAACAUAAGAGCUACAUUGAGAGUUGAUUCCAAGUGUAAAGACAGCUCCUUUCAGGUCUAAUAAUGAAAAUUACACACAGAGCGGAAAAAAAGAAGAAACUUUUAGCUUACGGAAGUCGGAACGGGGACGUUUGGGAGGAAGAACGUGAGGGUUCGACGAAAUUGGAAGCUGAUACUGUCUCUGCUGGUUCCAGUACUCAUCCGCCAUUGACGGCGACGGAAACAACAAAUCGAGAGAUCACAAUUCGAAAAUUAGUAAAUAAAAAUUCCUAAUUUACAGAAUAAGGCAUUCGAUUGCAGUUCUACUUGGUCCCAAUCGAACAAAAAAAUUCUACCCAGCAACUUGCUCGUUCCUCUGUUCAGAUCAAAAUUCUAAUUCGCUCAAUUUCAAUUUCAUCGAGUUUUCUGACUCAUUCUCUUUCGACAACGGAAGUGAAUGAUCCGAAUCUGAGUGACCCGACCCGUUUUGUUUAUAAACCCGGUAUUUCUUCUGGCGCCAAUUUAACAAGUAACGACUAAGUGAGGCCAUGAAUUUUGUCUGGACUAAUAUUUAUGUAAACUCAGUAAAAAUUUGGUAGAAAAUAAGUUUAACUUAAAAACUGGCAGAAAAUGAGUUUAACUUACAAAAAAAAAAGACUUUUUAAGUUUAACUAUUUAAGAUAACUCAUUUUCAACAAAUUUGUAGUGAGUUUACAUAAAUAUUUGUUGUAAGUAAAAAUUUAAGAAAAUUUACAUACAUGUCACCUACUAGUAUGUACAUAGCUUGGGGUUGGAAAGAUAUCAUUCCCCAAUUGCCUGCUCUCAUUCAUGCUUUUCAAACAUCGGAGAUGAACACUCCCAAAAUGAGAAGGUUGUGCAAAUUUACAGCACUACCAGAAGUAAGUCUUAAAAUCGUUUUUAUGUUGUUUAUUGUAUCUUUUAUCCAACACUUAUAGACUCUAACACACAUUGUAUUAUAUAGGCAAUGAAUAACAUAGGCGACAGAUCAGAUGUUUACAGUUUCAGAAUUUUUCUUGGUACUAUAAUAACGGUUAAGGUUUCAUAUGAGACUUUGGAUAGAUUAACGGCUAGACACACAAGCCUUAGGUGUUAUCGGGGUAAGACUUUUCUCCAUCCUUAAAAUAACUCUGACUGUGACAUAAUUGACUAAAUUGUGGUCAUGUGUUCAUUAGGGACAAAGGCCUGAACUUCCAAGCGAGACGAAUCCAAGACUGAAGAAAUUAAUCGAUGAAAUGCUUGGAUGGAGAUGCUAUGUAUAGGCCUCACAUCUAAGAUGUAAGACGUGUUUUGGAGUCGCUUGUCUCAGAAUUAAAUACGCCUACUACACCAACAACAACGCCUCUCCUGGUCACUCCUUCAACAUCAAACUCAACAUCGACACUGGUGUUAAGGGAUCAAUUUGAGGCAUUAUCAGGUGAUCUUGAUUCUUGAGUAAAAACCAGGAAAUAAUUUCACAAAAAGAAAAACAUUAUCCCAAACUUUGAUUUUUUCUAUGCUCACGUAGCUAAGAACGUGUUGAUAUCUCUGUUCUGGCACAUAUACAGUUUUAGUGCCCAAACUUUUUUGUUCUUUACUUCUUUUUCUUCCUGAUCAAUUGUGAACUUUGAGAUUCAGUUGUAUAUUCUAGAAAGUAAAAGGACCAUAUUCUCUUGAUCGUUAACUUUUGGAUUAGAAAACGUCAAUAUAUUAAAAUACAUCAAUAUCUAUUUUGAUAAAUUAUUUAAGAAUAUAACAGUAUAACCAAAAAUCAACGAUUAAUUUGAUAGAAAGAAGUCCGGUUAUAUCAAAUUCAUAGAAAGCGAUGAGAAUUUAACAUGAGAAGAAUAUUUUAGCGAAUCUUGUGAUAAUAUAUGUUAUUGGAAUAUCAGCAUAGUGAUUAGAAUUUUCUUGAAAAGAUAUUAGUAGAAUAUAUACUAGGAUUUGAUAAAUAUAUUAGAAUCUUUAUUUCUAUAGAAGAUUUAUUAGUCGAUAUUAGUGGGAUUUUGUGGAGUGAUGGGAUCAUAUGUUUCCCUAUUUUAUCUAGGGGUUUCUAUCUAUAAAAGGGGAUUGAUCAGAGCAGUCUUUCUCCAUAAUAUAGCCGAUAAUAUGAGUAAGACUUAUAAACCGUUGAAUAAAGAAACCGUGAAGUUACAAGCAAUGCUACAAAGGUACGGGUACUAUGAAAUGGUUCUCACUUCCCUUGAUUCAAAGGUUCAUUAGUCUUACUCGUAUUGUUAGCUAUAUUAAGAGGGAAACUCAAAGAUGUCAACAGAACUCCAGAAGAUGUCGGCCAAGAAAGUUCAGGAAGUUGUAACAUCAGCAACAAAGCAAUCUGCUAAUUGAAUCAAGUGGUGCCAAAGAGGCCAUAAAAUCCUUAAAAAGUGCCGGUAAUCGUUUAUUAUAUUGGUAGACAAACUCAAAAUAACUUUGCAUCUUCUGCUGUUUAAAGCUCAAGGAUAUAGCACAUAAGUUACCUCUCUUGCAAUGCGUUAUUGGCCUUGAUAGUAUUUUCCAUAUUAAUCUCACCGUCACUGUUUUGUCCUUAAGCAGUAGUUAAGCUCUUCAUUUUCUCUCAUGAAUUGUUUCUUUUUUUGGCGACAAAAGUCAAUUACACAUGUGAAACUACUUUCAUUUAGUCCACUGAAUGAUUUAAUCGAUCUAUUUUUGGAUUUCAAAUCACACGCAUAGUAGGUUCAAGAAUAUUAAUAUACUAACAAAAACCAAUUUACCUACAAACCCAAAAGUUAGAACUUAGAAGAUUAUACAAAUAGAAUUAAUCUAAUGCCCACUAUUGGAUAAGUUGAUGAGCACAUAGCAGUUAAGGAGGGACAAGAUUCAUUGAACAUAAACUUUAAAGUAUAUGUGGGAAGCCCACCAAACAAGAAUACACAUAUCAUCAAAUUGCCAAAUUGAUGUAAACAAAUGACGCAAUCAUCACGAAAUGCAUAAGUAGAAACCCUCUAACUGCAUCGGAGUGUCUCCAAAAAAAUGAUGAAAAAACGUAAAACAUAUCCUCUUUUUUUUCCUAACACUCGUAAAUUAGUUCACCUAGAUAUAAUAACUGAAUCAAGAAUCAAAGAAAUUGUUGAAAAGGUCCAUAGAAGAAGGAGACUGAAUCUUCGAUGGACUACUCUGAAGGAUAGAGUUAAAGUCAUUAAAGAACGACGAAAAACCUUGUGGAUCGGUUGGUCCAAUAGUGGAAAAGAAGUCCGGUGAUACCGACGGCAGAGAAUUAGGUCCCGGCGAUAAAAUCCCAGCAUGGUGGAAACUUGGCCGCUCGAACCCUUGAUUUUGAUGUUGUUGUUCUUGAUGAUGAUGAUGAUGAUGAUAAUGAUAAUAUUGAUCCAUAGUCCCUUCGCCUCCAACAAAUGUCCCUAGUUCGUUUGAGAUAUUAGCCUUCUCUGUAACAGCAAACCGAGCCGCCGGAGAUAUCAACCCAUGAGAUGUAUCAACCAUUGUUGACGCGUCUUUUGGUGCUGACGUAGAUGAAGAAUAGGAGGAGGAUGUUGUGGAGGUGGAGGUUUUACCUGUGAGACGUUGGACCAAUGUCAUGAAGUUAUUAGGGUGUGUAUGGAUAAUCCUGGGAGAUACUGUGUAUAUAAUCACGGGACCAGGUGGCGGCCGCGAUUGUGACGGUUCUUGCUGAUGGGUUUGUGGUGGUUGUGGUUGCGGGUGUGGCGGCGCUAGUGGUGGCUUCUUGAUGAUCUUGUGCGAAUCUCCACGGACUUUCAAUGGUAUUGGUCUCGGACCCAAGAUUCCUCUUGAUCUUGGCGAUCUAUUAUCCAUAGAAUCCACUUAAUGAGAUGAAUAGUAUAUGUGUAUGUGUGUGCGUGAUGAUGAAUUUAGUGAAGAACAAUGAUUAUGUGAUGAUUAGGGGAAAAGGCAGGGUACAUGAGUACUUGUAUAUAUAUGAUUUGUGUGUAUUAAAGAAGGAUAGAGAAAAGUCAAAUGAAGGAAGGAGAGUAAACCUACUUAAAAAGUGGUAAACUUUGGCUACUUGUUUGUUUGUAUUGAUUAUUAUAUCUUUUUAUGUAUGUUUCUUCUAGUAUGUUUCUUACCAAGAUUUGGUUUGGUUUACCCAAGAUUAAAAGUUUUCUAGUCGUGAGAAAAGACUCGCUAUUAACUACGACUUCCAACUUUUAUUAUUUAGUUUUCGUACCUCAAUUUAUUCUCGUUUGUGGUUAAUAUAAUUUGAUGAGAUAGAUACAUCUAGGUGGUGCUCACGUUGUUGUAUUUUUUUCUUUAAUAAAAAAAAAUUUAGAGGUGAAGUUACUGUUUAUAAGAUAGAGACAUAAAUUACGAAAAAAAAAAAAAAAUCGGAUACUUAUUUUUGUUUGCAUCUUAAUGGACUUAAAGGUUGAAUAUUUCCAGUCUAGAGGAAGUCAAAAGCGUAGAAGAGGUCAUAAGUGCCACGUCAGAUAAUUGGUAGCUGACUUGGCAUGAUUUUGUAGAGAGCUCCAACACGGUUCUUCUGAUCCAGACAUGACCCUGUGUCUGUGGACCAUAAUCAACACAAAUUUUGCCUUUGUCAAACAAUAUUUAUUCAAUAAAAACACAAAACUAGAUGUGGUCAGAAGUUUAAUAAUAUGUUUUCAAUAUUAACUGAUAUCUAUUGGCCUUUUUAAAAUCUAAAAUGAAUUUCGAGUUAUUGAAAUACUAUAAACAUGUCUGACAUUUAGUAGUUUUAGUGGUCAGGAAUGUCCACUUUGUAACUGAUUUUUUCUGUUCAAGGGUAUAUAUCACGGUUAUUAAAAAAAUUUAAAACUAUGUGACGUGAAAAUGUCAGAAAUAUAAUUGUGCUACGGCCACGAAAAUACGUUAUAUUGUCAUAAAUUUCAUAAUAGUGAUAAGGCCCACGUACUCUCGACCAACUCAAUUUUUCAUUUAUACGAAAAAAGCUCAAUAUCAUGGCUUCUUUGUCCAGAGACCAGAGGUUUUUGUCUCACGACACACACUCAAUGCGCCAUUCUUGCGCGUGGGUUCACGUUUUGUAGUCUCAGAGAAACAGAGCUUUUUUUUACAGUUAGCUGAAUCGCUACAUAACAAAAUUAAUCAAAACAUCACUACAAAGUCUUGAAGCGUUCGAUAAUAAUCUUUUGUGUUUGGGAGAUUAACAUAGUACAAAUUUAAAUCAUGAUAAUCUGAAAAAGGGCUUACUUGCGAUGUUGCUGGACGCGGGAACAGUAAUACAUGAGGGGAGAAAAAGUCUUUUGUGUUUGGUUUUGAGUCUAUUUUUUGGUCAAACUCGAAUCUCCAAAUGACAUGAAAUCCAUCUAUUUUCUUACUUAUUGCUCGAAAGUGAUUGGUCUUUCAAAGUCUCCCUAGAUUCUUCCAUUUAUGUAUAUUUUUUUGGUACAUUAGCCUAUAAUUAUAAUUUUUGCUGAACAACGAUUAGCGACAUUAUUUGCUAUCAAUUAGCUUCGGAUGCGAGUGAACGCGUAUAACCUUUAAAGGUCUCACGCGGUAAAUUAUAAAGAACAAUACUAUAUUACAUCGCAAAAGUAUAGUUGCGAAGUCUGGUUCUAGAUAGUACGAAUCAGUCUUAACACUG
rnacentral:lncRNA from 1 species